rnacentral:tRNA from 1 species
GCGCCCGUAGCUCAAAGGACAGAGCAUCUGCCUUCUAAGCAGAGGGCUGGGAGUUCGAGUCUCUCCGGGCGCACCA